GACGAACGCUGGCGGCGUGCUUAACACAUGCAAGUCGAACGGAAAGGCCCUGCUUUUGUGGGGUGCUCGAGUGGCGAACGGGUGCGUAACACGUGAGUAACCUGCCCUUGACUUUGGGAUAACUUCAGGAAACUGGGGCUAAUACCGGAUAGGAGCUCCUGCUGCAUGGUGGGGGUUGGAAAGUCUCGGCGGUUGGGGAUGGACUCGCGGCUUAUCAGCUUGUUGGUGGGGUAGUGGCUUACCAAGGCUUUGACGGGUAGCCGGCCUGAGAGGGUGACCGGCCACAUUGGGACUGAGGUACGGCCCAGACUCCUACGGGAGGCAGCAGUGGGGAAUAUUGCACAAUGGGCGGAAGCCUGAUGCAGCAACGCCGCGUGCGGGAUGACGGCCUUCGGGUUGUAAACCGCUUUCGCCUGCGACGAAGCGUGAGUGACGGUAAUGGGUAAAGAAGCACCGGCUAACUACGUG
rnacentral:rRNA from 1 species